AAACUGGAGAGUUUGAUCCUGGCUCAGGACAAACGCUGGCGGCGUGCCUAACACAUGCAAGUCGAACGAGAAAGUCGGCUUCGGCCGAUGAGUACAGUGGCGCACGGGUGAGUAACACGUGGGUAACCUACCUCUC
rnacentral:rRNA from 1 species